CUGAGGGAGAGAGAGGUGUGGUUUGAAAGUUACACUUUACACACACCUAUCUAAGUGUUAGUCAGAUGCUAACAGCUAGCAGUUGAGGUAAAGGGCUUAGCUUAGCCUGUAUGGC